CCGAAUGGGGAAACCCAGUGUGUUUCGACACACUAUCAUUAACUGAAUCCAUAGGUUAAUGAGGCGAACCGGGGGAACUGAAACAUCUAAGUACCCCGAGGAAAAGAAAUCAACCGAGAUUCCCCCAGUAGCGGCGAGCGAACGGGGAGCAGCCCAGAGCCUGAAUCAGUAUGUGUGUUAGUGGAAGCGUCUGGAAAGGCGCGCGAUACAGGGUGACAGCCCCGUACACAAAAAUGCACAUGCUGUGAGCUCGAUGAGUAGGGCGGGACACGUGGUAUCCUGUCUGAAUAUGGGGGGACCAUCCUCCAAGGCUAAAUACUCCUGACUGACCGAUAGUGAACCAGUACCGUGAGGGAAAGGCGAAAAGAACCCCGGCGAGGGGAGUGAAAAAGAACCUGAAACCGUGUACGUACAAGCAGUGGGAGCACGCUUAGGCGUGUGACUGCGUACCUUUUGUAUAAUGGGUCAGCGACUUAUAUUCUGUAGCAAGGUUAACCGAAUAGGGGAGCCGAAGGGAAACCGAGUCUUAACUGGGCGUUAAGUUGCAGGGUAUAGACCCGAAACCCGGUGAUCUAGCCAUGGGCAGGUUGAAGGUUGGGUAACACUAACUGGAGGACCGAACCGACUAAUGUUGAAAAAUUAGCGGAUGACUUGUGGCUGGGGGUGAAAGGCCAAUCAAACCGGGAGAUAGCUGGUUCUCCCCGAAAGCUAUUUAGGUAGCGCCUCGUGAAUUCAUCUCCGGGGGUAGAGCACUGUUUCGGCAAGGGGGUCAUCCCGACUUACCAACCCGAUGCAAACUGCGAAUACCGGAGAAUGUUAUCACGGGAGACACACGGCGGGUGCUAACGUCCGUCGUGAAGAGGGAAACAACCCAGACCGCCAGCUAAGGUCCCAAAGUCAUGGUUAAGUGGGAAACGAUGUGGGAAGGCCCAGACAGCCAGGAUGUUGGCUUAGAAGCAGCCAUCAUUUAAAGAAAGCGUAAUAGCUCACUGGUCGAGUCGGCCUGCGCGGAAGAUGUAACGGGGCUAAACCAUGCACCGAAGCUGCGGCAGCGACGCUGAUGCGUUGUUGGGUAGGGGAGCGUUCUGUAAGCCUGCGAAGGUGUGCUGUGAGGCAUGCUGGAGGUAUCAGAAGUGCGAAUGCUGACAUAAGUAACGAUAAAGCGGGUGAAAAGCCCGCUCGCCGGAAGACCAAGGGUUCCUGUCCAACGUUAAUCGGGGCAGGGUGAGUCGACCCCUAAGGCGAGGCCGAAAGGCGUAGUCGAUGGGAAACAGGUUAAUAUUCCUGUACUUGGUGUUACUGCGAAGGGGGGACGGAGAAGGCUAUGUUGGCCGGGCGACGGUUGUCCCGGUUUAAGCGUGUAGGCUGGUUUUCCAGGCAAAUCCGGAAAAUCAAGGCUGAGGCGUGAUGACGAGGCACU
rnacentral:rRNA from 1 species